UACGUAGGGGGCAAGCGUUGUCCGGAAUCAUUGGGCGUAAAGAGCGUGUAGGCGGUCCGGUAAGUCGGCUGUGAAAGUCCAGGGCUCAACCCUGGGAUGCCGGUCGAUACUGCCGGACUAGAGUUCGGAAGAGGCGAGUGGAAUUCCUGGUGUAGCGGUGAAAUGCGCAGAUAUCAGGAGGAACACCAAUUGCGAAGGCAGCUCGCUGGGACGUUACUGACGCUGAGACGCGAAAGCGUGGGGAGCAAACAGG
rnacentral:rRNA from 1 species